rnacentral:rRNA from 1 species
GACGAACGCUGGCGGCGUGCUUAACACAUGCAAGUCGAACGCUGAAGCUCAGCUUUUGUUGGGUGGAUGAGUGGCGAACGGGUGAGUAACACGUGAGUAACCUGCCUCCUUCUUUGGGAUAACGCCCGGAAACGGGUGCUAAUACUGGAUAUUCACUGGUCUUCGCAUGGGGGUUGGUGGAAAGGGUUUUUCUGGUGGGGGAUGGGCUCGCGGCCUAUCAGCUUGUUGGUGGGGUGAUGGCCUACCGAGGCUUUGACGGGUAGCCGGCCUGAGAGGGUGACCGGUCACAUUGGGACUGAGAUACGGCCCAGACUCCUACGGGAGGCAGCAGUGGGGAAUAUUGCACAAUGGGCGCAAGACUGAUGCAGCGACGCAGCGUGAGGGAUGGAGGCCUUCGGGUUGUGAACCUCUUUCGCUCAUGGUCAAGCCGCAACAAUGGUUGUGGUGAGGGUAGUGGGUAAAGAAGCGCCGGCUAACUACGUG